rnacentral:rRNA from 1 species
AUUGAACGCUGGCGGCAGGCCUAACACAUGCAAGUCGAACGAGUGGCGGACGGGUGAGUAAUGUCUGGGAAACUGCCCGAUGGAGGGGGAUAACUACUGGAAACGGUAGCUAAUACCGCAUACCAUCGGAUGUGCCCAGAUGGGAUUAGCUAGUAGGUGGGGUAACGGCUCACCUAGGCGACGCUCCCUAACUGGUCUGAGAGGAUGACCAGCCACACUGGAACUGAGACACGGGCCAGAUUCUUACGGGAGGCAGCAGUGGGGAAUAUUGCACAAUGGGCGCAAUCCUGAUGCACCCAUGCCGCGUGUAUGAAGACGGCCUUCGGGUUGUAAAGUACUUUCAGCGAGUAGGCGUUACUCGCAGAAGAAGCACCGGCUAACGCCGUUCCAGCCGCCGCGGUAAUUC